AAGAUUUUGAACCUAGACCUAAUAUUUCAGCUUAUGGAGAAAAUGUCAUUGAUGCUGAUGAAAAGAAGAAACCAGUCAAAGAUUUUGAACCAAGACCCAAUAUUUCAGCUUAUGGAGACAAUGACAUUGAUGUUAAGGAAAAUAAGGGAGCCACCAACGAUUUUGAGCCAAGACCCAACAUUUCAGCUUAUGGAGACAAUGUCAUUGAUGAUAAUAAAAUGAAGAAACCAGUUGAAUAUUUCCAACCAAGACCAAACAUUUCAGCUUAUGGAGAAAAUGACAUUGAUGUUAAAAAAAGUAAAGAUUUUGAACCAAGACCCAACAUUUCAGCUUUUGGAGACAAUGACAUUGAUGUUAAUGAAAAGAAGGGAGAUACUAAAGAUUUCGAACCAAGAC
rnacentral:lncRNA from 1 species